AAGGAAUCAUUUGAUUUCCACAUACCUUUGCUUACCUUUUUUGUUUAUUCCUCCCUCUUGCUUCAUGUGUCUUUCUAUUUUGGAGCAGUGGGACAUGGAGGUGUGAUUUAUGCUCACCUGGGAAGAUGAAGCAAGAUGGACGUAAGGAAGAAGAAAGCAACAGAAAACCACUUUCUGAAACUCAGGGUCCUGUAUAUGUGCAGAGGACAACAGAUGAUGGGCGGAGAGUCCUUAUCAAAGAACCUGUGCCCACCUCUUUGAGGCUGCCUCUUCCUUCUGCAUCCCCAAUGUCUGAGACUGCACUGCCAGCCGUAUGUGUAGGAAGCGAGAAACAGCUGAAACUGACCGUUGGUGACAAGUGUGGUGUAUGCAGGAAAGAAGGCGACAUGACUUACUGCAAUAAAUGUUUCAGGGCUUUCCACUGGCCCUGCCACUUUCCUUCCCAUACAGAUCAAAUCAGGUAUUGACUACACCCAAGAAGACCAAAGAUAUCCGUAAUUCCCCAA
rnacentral:lncRNA from 11 species